rnacentral:tRNA from 1 species
GGGGAUGUAGCUCAAUUGGUAGAGCACUAUAUAUUGCAUGCUAGAGGAUCAGACUCAAUUCCUCACAUCUCCA